UUGAAAGGGAAACGAUUGAAGUCAGUUAUGCCGGUGGGAAUCAACUUAGGAGAAACUCUGAGUGUACUUCUUCGCUUGGCAGGUCAACGUUGAUUUUGGAUGUCAUAAAAUGAUUGAGGGAAGGUAGCUCCUUCGGGAGUGUUAUAGCCCUUGGUAGAUGUGAUGUCUGGGAUCAAGGAUUGCAACGAAUACCCUUUUGGGCUAUCCGCCUGAUCUCUGAUACGUGGCCUUGGCAUCGAAAGCUUGCUUAUGGUAUCAAGGUAUUACGGUCAAAAGGUUAGAACGGAUUACAUUCGUUAAGGAUGUUGACGUA
rnacentral:rRNA from 1 species